UACGAAGGGGGCUAGCGUUGCUCGGAAUCACUGGGCGUAAAGCGCACGUAGGCGGCUUACUAAGUCAGGGGUGAAAUCCUGGAGCUCAACUCCAGAACUGCCUUUGAUACUGGUAAGCUCGAGUCCGGGAGAGGUGAGUGGAACUGCGAGUGUAGAGGUGAAAUUCGUAGAUAUUCGCAAGAACACCAGUGGCGAAGGCGGCUCACUGGCCCGGUACUGACGCUGAGGCACGAAAGCGUGGGGAGCAAACAGG
rnacentral:rRNA from 1 species